rnacentral:rRNA from 1 species
GACAGAGGGUGCAACCGUUGUUCGGAAUUACUGGGCGUAAAGCGCGUGUAGGCUGCCCCGCAAGUCGGAUGUGAAAGCCCUGGGCUCAACCUAGGAAGUGCAUUCGAAACUGCGGGGCUGGAGUCCUGGAGAGGAAGGCGGAAUUCUCGGUGUAGAGGUGAAAUUCGUAGAUAUCGAGAGGAACACCGGUGGCGAAGGCGGCCUUCUGGACAGUGACUGACGCUGAGACGCGAAAGCGUGGGGAGCAAACAGG